rnacentral:rRNA from 1 species
UACGGAGGGUGCGAACGUUGCUCGGAAUCAUUGGGCGUAAAGCGCACGUAGGCUGCGAGGCAAGUUGGGUGUGAAAGCCCUGGGCUCAACCCAGGAAGUGCAUUCAAAACUACCUUGCUUGAAUCUCGGAGGGGGUCAGAGAAUUCCCGGUGUAGAGGUGAAAUUCGUAGAUCUCGAGAGGAACACCAAUGGCGAAGGCAGCUUCUUAGUCCAUUCCUGACGUUGAGACACGAAAGCGUGGGGAGCAAACAGG